CGGGGAGGUAGUGACGAAAAAUAACGAUACGGGACUCAUCCGAGGCCCCGUAAUCGGAAUGAGUACACUUUAAAUCCUUUAACGAGGACCAAUUGGAGGGCAAGUCUGGUGCCAGCAGCCGCGGUAAUUCCAGCUCCAAUAGCGUAUAUUAAAGUUGUUGCGGUUAAAAAGCUCGUAGUUGAAUCUGUGUGUCACAGUGUCGGUUCACCGCUCGCGGUGUUUAACUGGCAUUAUGUGGUACGUCCUACCGGUGGGCUUAGCUCCUCGCGGGCGGUCCAACUAAUAUCCCAUCGCGGUGCUCUUCACUGAGUGUCGAGGUGGGCCGGUACGUUUACUUUGAACAAAUUAGAGUGCUCAAAGCAGGCUACCUUUGCCUGAAUAUUGUGUGCAUGGAAUAAUGGAAUAGGACCUCGGUUCUAUUUUGUUGGUUUUCGGAACCCCGAGGUAAUGAUUAAUAGGGACAGAUGGGGGCAUUCGUAUUGCGACGUUAGAGGUGAAAUUCUUGGAUCGUCGCAAGACGGACAGAAGCGAAAGCAUUUGCCAAAAAUGUUUUCAUUAAUCAAGAACGAAAGUUAGAGGUUCGAAGGCGAUCAGAUACCGCCCUAGUUCUAACCAUAAACGAUGCCAGCUAGCGAUCCGCCGAAGUUCCUCCGAUGACUCGGCGGGCAGCUUCCGGGAAACCAAAGCUUUUGGGUUCCGGGGGAAGUAUGGUUGCAAAGCUGAAACUUAAAGGAAUUGACGGAAGGGCACCACCAGGAGUGGAGCCUGCGGCUUAAUUUGACUC
rnacentral:rRNA from 4 species